CACGUAUAUAACCCAGGCUGCCACUUUUCCUUUCGGAGGGUACUGUUCCUGCCUGCUGCUCUUAUGAAACAUGUUUGAGGUUGUGAAGGCUACACAGAAGCUUCGAAGCUGAGCUCUGCUUGGUAAUUGAUGGGUCACAUUUGCUCUUCCACAUUCAACACAUAUUGAAAAAGCACAAAAUUCCCACUUAUGUGGUUUGAGUGAUCAUGUUGCCUUUUCUUCAGUUACAUGCAAUUAGUGUGAUGUAUUACAUCUAGAAUGAGAAAAACAUUCUAAAAUUUGAAUUGCUAGGGUUCAUGGGUGCAUCAUGCUUCUCAUAGCAGGGCUGUAGUAUUUGCUGUGGAGAAUCUAAUGCCUGCCCUCUUCCUCUACAGUUCCACAGGGCUUAAAUCAAGCUGCAUGCUAAAUGACCAUAUGCCCUCCUGCUCUGGGCAAAGGUGUCCCAGUCAACCACUUAACUCACACAGUUUCCUGUUCUCAGCACAUUAUGCUGGCCAGCCGUAAGUCCAGCUGUGAGCUUAGCUUGAGAUCUCAAAGUUAAAAUUAUUCCUGAAGGCAUUAUUUCCUUCUGUAAUUUAAAGACAUGAGUUUAGCUUCUCUGUUUUCAGAAAAAAAAAAAUUUUUUUUAUUUUACAGAGGGUAAAAUUGAACACAAUAGAACAUAACAAAACAGAACAUAAGAAAGCAAUGUAAGAGACAUAAAUUUCAAGGCAAGACCAUCAGAGAUCUUCACUAUCUAUUGUAUUGUCUGUUUUGUUCCAAAUAUGUUGGGAGCCGCAGCCCCGAGCCCGGUCGCCUCACUUGGCGGACGUGAGGCCUGUAGUAAAGAGUGAGGCCUGAGGUAGAUUACCCCUCCCAUCGAAUAUGCUAGUUUCCUGCUUACCGCGUAAACAACCCGCUCAACAAUAUAGUCUGCCUAGCAACUGAUGAUGUUAGCCAAUCAGCUUGCCUUGCUUACUUUAACAUGAUUGGACACUGUAUCCGUAUAUAUACCGGUGCCACCCCUGGGAGGAAGUAGAAGCCAGAUAGAAGCCCGGAAGUAGAAGCCCAAAAGGAGCCGCGGAGAGCGGACCAAAGGAGGCUUCAGCUGGGAGAACCCAGGGCAGGCUGUACGGAGAAGAAGAAUAAAAAGAAAAGGUUGUCCACUACCAGACUUUGUCGUGUGUCCUUCCUGCCGGCCGGGAGCGGACAUCGACAUUUGGAGGCCCGCCCGGGGACUGAUCACCCCCGAGACGUGACAGUGGACAACGCUCCAGUACAGAGCUGCGAGACAGGUGAGUUGGGGAUAAGCCUGGGCUCUGGGUGGCGCGCACCUACAGGGCUUUUAGACUCCCCUCAGGCUCACGCGUAAGUGGCGGAUUCCUUGGGCCUCACGCGGUGAGUAACAUAUUAAAAAAUGGGAAACAUGCUAGGUAGCGGCACUAAGAGCGAGGGUGGUUGUGGAGAAAGCUCUCAAGAGCUUACAAAAGUAUGCAGGGUAUCUGAGCAGGCCCAGUCAGGGAGCUCCCGAGAGGUGUCUGUCAAGGGGAACAAGGAUGCUAAGGAGGAGGACGGGGCUCUAGCCUCGGAGUCGUCUGACUCCGAGGACGAGGGAAAGUUGAAUGGCAGGGAGGCCAAAGAGACUAGCUGUCAGGAGCCUAAGUCGCUCCAUAAGGAGUCGGGUCUGCGGAAGAGUAGAGAGCUCCUGAGUGCGCCCCGGCGCGAGAGGGAGGCGAAGCCUUCCGCCCCACCUUGGGGGCCGUUUCCGGAGGCGAUCCCUCGCCGCGGGGCGGCCGCCCGGGAGCUCCCUUCCUCUUCGCCAGAACAGGAAGUGAUGCACGGGCCCCCAUUUUCCGCCCAAUCACGGCCGCUGUCUUAUGCUCCGCCGCCGGCAGGUCGGUAUUUUUACAGGCGGCUUUGGCAGGGGGGACGCUUGUCUCAUGAGGUACAUCCACCUGGGAUAGAUAGUGGCCCCUACGAGAUAUUUCCUGUACAAGUAGCUAUGGGCCAGGGACGCAAUGUAUGGGAGCCUUUUGAGAUAAAGCAGAUUAGAGAACUUAAAAAUGCAGUUACAACCUUUGGGCCGACUGCGCCUUACACCAUUGCCAUGCUGGAGAAUCUGUCUUCUGGGCCCCUCACCCCCGCGGACUGGAUUCAGCUGGCGGGGGCGUGUCUGCCCUCGGGCAGUUACCUGGAUUGGCGAGCCUGGUAUGCAGAGUCCUCUGCAGAGCAGGCUGAGAGAAACGCCAAUCGGGGAGACCGGGGGUGGAACAAGAGAAUGCUUGUGGGAGAGGGUCGGCGCGCUGAUGGUCAGACUCGGUUCCCCGGCGCUCUCUGGCGGGGAGGAGAUAGAGAGCCAUCCGCUCCGCCCUGGAGCUCUUUUCUAAAAGCGGCUCCCCGCCGAGAGGCCGCCACAGGAAACCCUCCCUUCCCUCAGCCGGCACAGGAAGUGACGCCCCGUUUCACUCUGUCGCGACCGCAGUCUUAUGACGUCGCGCCGCUGGGCAGACGGUAUUUUCAU